rnacentral:tRNA from 1 species
AAGGAUUUAAGUUAAAUUAAACUAAAAGCCUUCAAAGCUUUUAAUAAAGAAAAUCUUUAAGCCUUA